rnacentral:snoRNA from 1 species
AGUCCGUGGUGCGAGCAACAUCGAAGAAAGUCUUUGUACCUCUCCCAACCAUCAUACAUGCUCUCGUCAUCGAACUGCACAAAAGAAGAUAUAUCAUUUCUCAAUCU